rnacentral:rRNA from 1 species
UUUCCAGACUCCUACGGGAGGCAGCAGUGGGGAAUAUUGGGCAAUGGGCGCAAGCCUGACCCAGCAACGCCGCGUGAAGGAAGAAGGCUUUCGGGUUGUAAACUUCUUUUCUCAGGGACGAAGCAAGUGACGGUACCUGAGGAAUAAGCCACGGCUAACUACGUGCCAGCAGCCGCGGUAAUACGUAGGUGGCAAGCGUUAUCCGGAUUUACUGGGUGUAAAGGGCGAGUAGGCGGGAUUGCAAGUCAGAUGUGAAAACUAUGGGCUCAACCGAUAGAGUGCAUUUGAAACUGCAGUUCUUGAGUGGUGGAGAGGCAGGCGGAAUUCCCGGUGUAGCGGUGGAAUGCGUAGAUAUCGGGAGGAACACCAGUGGCGAAGGCGGCCUGCUGGACAUUAACUGACGCUGAGGCGCGAAAGCGUGGGGAGCAAACAGGAUUAGAUACCCCAGUA